rnacentral:lncRNA from 1 species
UCCGGAUUGAUCACCAUCCUCAUGAUGGUACUAUGAUCAAGAGUAAUUUAAAAAUUAAUUAUGCAUGCCUCCAAUUCUCAGCAUCUUGAGAAUAUAUACCAUAAGUAUUAAUUUCAUGGAUGACUCAAGGAUACAUCACACUUGAAUAAAAAUAAACUUAUCCUUUUAUUGAUCAAAUCAAUAUUUUUAAGUACUAAAUUAUAUCCUAGAGUAAUUACAAUAUGUCAGUCAUAUUAGC